rnacentral:rRNA from 1 species
CCUACGGGUGUCAGCAGUGAGGAAUAUUGGUCAAUGGCCGGAAGGCUGCACCAGCCAAGCCGCGUGAAGGACGCAGGUUCCAAGCAUUGUAAACUUCUUUUGUCACGGGACAAAAUCAGGCUCGAGAGCCUGACCGAGGGUACUUGAAGAAAAAGCAUCGGCUAACUCCGUUCCAUCAGCCGCGGUAAUACGGAGGAUGCGACCGUUAUCCGGCUUUAUUGGGUUUAAGUGGUGCGUAGGCGGUCUGUUAAGUCAGCGGUAAAAGCCCGGGGCUAAACCCCGGCGAGCCGUUGAAACUGGCUGUCGUGAGAUGUCGAGAGGUAUGCGGAAUGCGCAGUGUAGCGGUGAAAUGCUUAGAUAUUGCGAAGAACUCCGAUUGCGAAGGCAGCAUACCGGCGGCGAUCUGACGCUGAGGCACGAAAGCGUGGGUAUCGAACAGGAGUAGAUACCCUUGUAGUC